rnacentral:rRNA from 1 species
CAGCAGCCGCGGGAAUACGUAGGUCCCGAGCGUUGUCCGGAUUUAUUGGGCGUAAAGCGAGCGCAGGCGGUUAGAUAAGUCUGAAGUUAAAGGCUGUGGCUUAACCAUAGUACGCUUUGGAAACUGUUUAACUUGAGUGCAAGAGGGGAGAGUGGAAUUCCAUGUGUAGCGGUGAAAUGCGUAGAUAUAUGGAGGAACACCGGUGGCGAAAGCGGCUCUCUGGCUUGUAACUGACGCUGAGGCUCGAAAGCGUGGGGAGCAAACAGGAUUAGAUACCCCUGUAGUCCCUGUCUCUUAUACC